GGGAAAGCUUGCUAACAUCAUGUGGGAAAAGAAAUGUGUGGGAAUAGCUGAGAAUUACUUUUCCAAAGCAAGGGAAACACUCUUGGAGGCUGGUGGCAAAGCCUCUUCUGGCUCCGAGGACACCAUGAAUCUUUUCUUCAAAGACCUCCACUUCUGUUUCCUCUCAAGGACAUGCCAACGAACUCCGUUUGGAGACUCAAUAAAAGCUGAUGAGAACAUGAAUGAGAUGCCAGAGGAGAAGGGGGAACAACCGUUGCUCUGCAGAGAAGAAACCUGAGAGAUGGACCCGAACAUCAUUGAGCCACGGUUCCAAGAUCAGCAGCUGUGUGCCUCCAGACUGCUCAUCUUCUAAGAAAAAUAGAACCAGUAAUUUGUUUAAGGCUCUGCUUUGGGGGGCUUGGUUUCUCCCAGCCGAAUAUAAUCUCCAGUCCAUAGACAAGGCACCAUUUCAUUUCAAUCAUUAAUUUAGAAAUAGUGUGUCAGAUAUUUGCUUGUGCUAGAGUUUCAAAUAGCAAAUGUCCCUUGAAAGAACCAGGCCAUCCUUUAGGGGCUUGGAAAUCCUUUUGUAGAACUGAGUGUUUUGUUUUGGGGGUGUCUGUCUCUGCUGUAAAGCGAGCUGACCUACAUGCACAACAUAUGAUAAGCAUGAAGCGGCCCAACUGGUUUUAUUAGUUUUCCUUGGGCUUUGGUCUAAAAAGGUUUCUUGCUGAGUUGAUUUCACCCCCGAUAACUUCCUUCACACUCCACUUCCUAAUCGAAAAAGGCCCACAUCAGGGGUAGAGAAACAGAGACCAAUCCUUUCCCACCCCUCUCCUGGGACUCCUUAGCUCUUUACUAUACCGCUGGGUUGGCUUAGCAAAAGCAAUUUGAUGUCCAGAAUUUCCUGGCAGCCUUCCAUGAGUCUGUCUGCCUCAUCAGAAAACUCCAAUCAGUAAGUCUGUGGGCUAAAGGGAGUCUGAUCUCACUGGUGGUGUUGCCACACUUUGUUCUUUUUCUGAUAUAUUCUGUAUUCGCAGUGGUUUGUUCUUUUUCAGUUCUGAAAGCUGACAUGAUUUUGGAAAGUGAAACGUGCUUCCCUAAAUUCUGGCUCAUACCCCCUCAGGUGAAACUCUCCAAGCCAUUAACCUUCAGGUACAUCUCCCAAAGGAGGGCUUUUUGUAUUAGAUUCCAAGAGCUACCAUUCCUCAAGCCUUGAUUUUGAAGUUGUUGUUAGUUGCGAUGUAGCUUUUCUAAAUUAAAGCAAAAGGGGAAGGCCAAUACAUAGAACCAAUAAAAGCAGAGUUGUUCUCA
rnacentral:lncRNA from 1 species